GGGAUAAGCCUGGGAAACUGGGUCUAAUACCGGAUAGGAGCGUCCACCGCAUGGUGGGUGUUGGAAAGAUUUAUCGGUUUUGGAUGGACUCGCGGCCUAUCAGCUUGUUGGUGAGGUAAUGGCUCACCAAGGCGACGACGGGUAGCCGGCCUGAGAGGGUGACCGGCCACACUGGGACUGAGACACGGCCCAGACUCCUACGGGAGGCAGCAGUGGGGAAUAUUGCACAAUGGGCGCAAGCCUGAUGCAGCGACGCCGCGUGAGGGAUGACGGCCUUCGGGUUGUAAACCUCUUUCAGUAGGGAAGAAGCGAAAGUGACGGUACCUGCAGAAGAAGCACCGGCUAACUACGUGCCAGCAGCCGCGGUAAUACGUAGGGUGCGAGCGUUAUCCGGAAUUAUUGGGCGUAAAGAGCUCGUAGGCGGUUUGUCGCGUCUGUCGUGAAAGUCCGGGGCUUAACCCCGGAUCUGCGGUGGGUACGGGCAGACUAGAGUGCAGUAGGGGAGACUGGAAUUCCUGGUGUAGCGGUGGAAUGCGCAGAUAUCAGGAGGAACACCGAUGGCGAAGGCAGGUCUCUGGGCUGUAACUGACGCUGAGGAGCGAAAGCAUGGGGAGCGAACAGGAUUAGAUACCCUGGUAGUCCAUGCCGUAAACGUUGGGCACUAGGUGUGGGGACCAUUCCACGGUUUCCGCGCCGCAGCUAACGCAUUAAGUGCCCCGCCUGGGGAGUACGGCCGCAAGGCUAAAACUCAAAGGAAUUGACGGGGGCCCGCACAAGCGGCGGAGCAUGCGGAUUAAUUCGAUGCAACGCGAAGAACCUUACCAAGGCUUGACAUGUUCUCGAUCGCCGUAGAGAUACGGUUUCCCCUUUGGGGCGGGUUCACAGGUGGUGCAUGGUUGUCGUCAGCUCGUGUCGUGAGAUGUUGGGUUAAGUCCCGCAACGAGCGCAACCCUCGUUCCAUGUUGCCAGCACGUAGUGGUGGGGACUCAUGGGAGACUGCCGGGGUCAACUCGGAGGAAGGUGAGGACGACGUCAAAUCAUCAUGCCCCUUAUGUCUUGGGCUUCACGCAUGCUACAAUGGCCGGUACAAUGGGUUGCGAUACUGUGAGGUGGAGCUAAUCCCAAAAAGCC
rnacentral:rRNA from 1 species